rnacentral:rRNA from 1 species
GUCUAUGGCCAUGCUACCCUGAACAAGCCCGAUCCCGUCUGAUCUCAGAAGCUAAGCAGGGUCGGGCCUGGUUAGUACUUGGAUGGAAGACCACCUAGGAAUACCAGGUGCUAUAGGUG